UACAUGGGGUGCAAACGUUGCUCGGAAUUAUUGGGCGUAAAGCGCACGUAGGCGGUUCGUUAAGUCGGAUGUGAAAGCCCUCGGCUCAACUGAGGAAGUGCACCCGAAACUGGCGAGCUUGAGUACGAAAGAGGAUCGCGGAAUUCCCGGUGUAGAGGUGAAAUUCGUAGAUAUCGGGAGGAACACCGGUGGCGAAGGCGGCGAUCUGGGUAGUAACUGACGCUGAGGAACGAAAGCGUGGGUAGCGAACAGG
rnacentral:rRNA from 1 species